rnacentral:rRNA from 1 species
CAAACCCCAAUGUGAACGUUACCAAUCUGUUGCCUCGGCGGGAUUCUCUUGCCCCGGGCGCGUCGCAGCCCCGGAUCCCAUGGCGCCCGCCGGAGGACCAACUCCAAACUCUUUUUUUCUCUCCGUCGCGGCUCCCGUCGCGGCUCUGUUUUAUUUUUGCUCUGAGCCUUUCUCGGCGACCCUAGCGGGCGUCUCGAAAAUGAAUCAAAACUUUCAACAACGGAUCUCUUGGUUCUGGCAUCGAUGAAGAACGCAGCGAAAUGCGAUAAGUAAUGUGAAUUGCAGAAUUCAGUGAAUCAUCGAAUCUUUGAACGCACAUUGCGCCCGCCAGUAUUCUGGCGGGCAUGCCUGUCCGAGCGUCAUUUCAACCCUCGAACCCCUCCGGGGGGUCGGCGUUGGGGAUCGGCCCCCCACCGGGCCGCCCCCGAAAUACAGUGGCGGUCUCGCCGCAGCCUCUCCUGCGCAGUAGUUUGCACACUCGCACCGGGAGCGCGGCGCGGCCACAGCCGUAAAACACCCCAAACUUCUGAAAUGUUGACCUCGGAUCAGGUAGGAAUACCCGCUGAACUUAAGCAUAUCAAUAAGCGGAGGAAAAGAAACC